rnacentral:rRNA from 1 species
GUAAGGAAUAUUGGUCAAUGGGCGGAAGCCUGAACCAGCCAUGCCGCGUGCAGGACGACGGCCCUACGGGUUGUAAACUGCUUUUGCCCGGGAAUAACCCCCCGCUCUUGAGCGGGGCUGAACGUACCGGGAGAAUAAGGAUCGGCUAACUCCGUGCCAGCAGCCGCGGUAAUACGGAGGAUCCGAGCGUUAUCCGGAUUUAUUGGGUUUAAAGGGUGCGUAGGCGGCCUGUUAAGCCAGGGGUGAAAUACGGCAGCUCAACUGUCGCAGUGCCCUUGAUACGGACGGGCUUGAGUACCGGUGAAGGCGGCGGAAUGAGACAAGUAGCGGUGAAAUGCAUAGAUAUGUCUCAGAACCCCGAUUGCGAAGGCAGCUGCCUAACCGGCGAUUGACGCUGAUGCACGAAAGCGUGGGGAUCGAACAGGAUUAGAAACCCUGGUAGUCC